UACGGAGGGAGCUAGCGUUGUUCGGAAUUACUGGGCGUAAAGCGCACGUAGGCGGCUUUGUAAGUUAGAGGUGAAAGCCCCGGGCUCAACCUGGGAAUGGCCGUUGAAACUGGCGAACUGGAGUGUGGCAGAGGGGGGUGGAAUUCCGGGUGUAGCGGUGGAAUGCGUAGAGAUCCGGAAGAAGACCGGUGGCGAAGGCGGUCUGCUGGCGAGUACCUGACACUGAUGCGCGACAGCGUGGGGAGCAAACAGG
rnacentral:rRNA from 1 species